rnacentral:misc_RNA from 1 species
UAGUUGAGUUGAGUUGAGUUGAGAAUUGUGAUUGGCUGUCCUUGUGUUUUGUGUCUUUAUGUCAUGAGUUUCUUUGGAUCAUGCAAGUAAGAUGAAAUACAUAAUCUAAGAAAGGAUUCUUUAUAUGUGGAAGGUCCAAACUGUAUGCUGCCUUUCUUGAGUUUGGUAUAAUGCCAACAUUGAUACAAUCUUUGGUUGCUCACCUAGCAGGACCUUGAUAGAGUGCUAAUGCCUAAAUAUAUUGAUAGAAUUCAGAAUAUUUCUGAAGUUCCUGCAUCAAGGACUUGACUUCGUACUAGGGCUGUGCGAUAUUCAGUCCAAACCGAAAAACUGGUUCAAUCAGUUUGGUUUCCAGUUUGGGCGGUUCGGUUCAGUUUUGAGUUUUAGAUAUUUUCAGUUUUUUGGUUUGGUUCAGUUA